GGUGUUUAUACAAGCUCUGUCUUAAAAAAUCCCAACAUUUUAUUUUCAUUGGGUUGUACAGAAACCCCACAUAUAUUUAUAUUGUUAAGCAACAAGCCAAUUUAUGUCUCCAGUUGACACUGCAUUUCAGAACUGCCUCCAUUUUGGGUAGAUAUCAAUUGGAACAAACAAGUCCAGAGCACACAGUGUAUUUAGCAGCUCUUUCUGUCCCACACAAAUUCUUCUAACACGUAUUUUCCACAAGGGAGGAAUCUAGCAGUUUCUGAAUUAUGAGAUUUUCAACUAUAGUUUCUUGUUCUUUCAGGUGUCUGCAGAGGAUCCCAACACAUCACAGAGUUACUUCUGUGUUUAACAGUUAUCAGCAAUGAUGAAGAAAGAAGAGAACAGGGAGAAGAGGAUUUUACAGGGGAGCUGUCACCUAAAGAAGUUUUGCACUGUGAGUCCCAGCUCCAGAUCAAGGGAUUUCUGUGAUGUACCCUCGCUUCCACUACCUGGAUAAGUCAUACUCCUCAUAUUCCCUGUUGCAGAGCUGGGGGCUGGAAAAUGUCUGCUGCACUUCUGGGUCCUCAUUAGUCAGCUAAGAAUAUGUAAGGAAAAAGGAACCCAGGUACCUAUAUGCUGCAUCAAUGAGAAAGGAAAACUGUCUCAGCUUCCAAAGGAAUGGCUCUAUUUUCUUAUUUAAUGAAAAUGACAUCAUUAAAACUAAUUGAGUAACUAUGAAUGAUGAUGCUCAAAUCUUUGCUGCAGAUACAGGAAAGAUGACAGCUAUAUAAUCAACAUAGUCUAAGUAUUUGCUACUGUGAUGAUACCCCAUGCCAUGUGUAAGCUUUUAGUUCAAAACCUUAGCCAACAACUGUGUUUUCAUGUCCAGGAGUAUUUGCAAAUUUGAAUAAAAGUUGUUGAACAUUUUUUGAUGACUUCCUUCCUUCCUUCCCUCCCUCCUCAAUUUUA